rnacentral:rRNA from 1 species
CCUANGGGGGGCAGCAGUGGGGAAUUUUGGACAAUGGGGGCAACCCUGAUCCAGCCAUUCCGCGUGAGUGAAGAAGGCCUUCGGGUUGUAAAGCUCUUUCAGCAGGAACGAAACGGUGGCUACUAAUACUAGCUACUAAUGACGGUACCUGAAGAAGAAGCACCGGCUAACUCCGUGCCAGCAGCCGCGGUAAUACGGAGGGUGCGAGCGUUGUUCGGAAUUACUGGGCGUAAAGCGCGUGUAGGCGGCCUUGCAAGUCAGGCGUGAAAGCCCUCGGCUUAACCGGGGAAGUGCGUCUGAAACUGCUUGGCUUGAGUACGGGAGAGGGAGGCGGAAUUCCCAGUGUAGAGGUGAAAUUCGUAGAUAUUGGGAGGAACACCGGUGGCGAAAGCGGCCUCCUGGACCGAUACUGACGCUGAGACGCGAAAGCGUGGGGAGCAAACAGGAUUAGAUACCCUUNUANUC